GGGAAGGUGGCUCAGUGGUAGAACGCUUGCCUUGCAUGCAUGAGGCCCUGGGUUCAAUUCCUCAGCACCCCA
rnacentral:tRNA from 1 species